rnacentral:rRNA from 1 species
GACAGAGGAUGCAAGCGUUAUCCGGAAUGAUUGGGCGUAAAGGGUCCGCAGGUGGCCCGGUCAGUCCGCUGUCAAAGCCUGGGGCUCAACCCUGGAGAGGCGGCGGAGACCACCGGGCUUGAGUCCGGUAGGGGCAGAGGGAAUUUCCGGUGGAGCGGUGAAAUGCGUAGAGGAUCGGAAAAGAACACCAACGGCGAAAGCACUCUGCUGGGCCGACACUGACACUGAGAGACGAAAGCUAGGGGAGCGAAUGGG